GUGGGGAAUUUUGGACAAUGGGGGCAACCCUGAUCCAGCCAUGCCGCGUGCAGGAUGAAGGCCUUCGGGUUGUAAACUGCUUUUGUACGGAACGAAAAGACUUCUUCUAAUACAGGAGGUCCAUGACGGUACCGUAAGAAUAAGCACCGGCUAACUACGUGCCAGCAGCCGCGGUAAUACGUAGGGUGCAAGCGUUAAUCGGAAUUACUGGGCGUAAAGCGUGCGCAGGCGGUUAUAUAAGACAGAUGUGGAAUCCCCGGGCUCAACCUGGGAACUGCAUUUGUGACUGUAUAGCUAGAGUACGGUAGAGGGGGAUGGAAUUCCGCGUGUAGCAGUGAAAUGCGUAGAUAUGCGGAGGAACACCGAUGGCGAAGGCAAUCCCCUGGACCUGUACUGACGCUCAUGCACGAAAGCGUGGGGAGCAAACAGGAUUAGAAACCCCAGUAGUCC
rnacentral:rRNA from 1 species